AGUGAACGCUGGCGGCAGGCCUAAUACAUGCAAGUCGAGCGGCAGCACAGCAGAGCUUGCUCUGUGGGUGGCGAGUGGCGGACGGGUGAGGAAUACAUGGGAAUCUGCCCAGUCGUGGGGGAUAACGUAUGGAAACGUACGCUAAUACCGCAUGCGCCCUACGGGGGAAAGUCGGGGACCGCAAGGCCUGACGCGAUUGGAUGAGCCCAUGUUCGAUUAGCUAGUUGGCGGGGUAAAGGCCCACCAAGGCGACGAUCCGUAGCGGGUCUGAGAGGAUGAUCCGCCACACUGGGACUGAGACACGGCCCAGACUCCUACGGGAGGCAGCAGUGGGGAAUUUUGGACAAUGGGCGGAAGCCUGAUCCAGCCAUGCCGCGUGAGUGAAGAAGG
rnacentral:rRNA from 1 species